rnacentral:lncRNA from 1 species
GGCGGCCGCCACCCCAUCCGACAGUGUAUUAGGGUAAGUCCGCCCCUGAUUUCAUUAACAAACUUCCGAUUAAUUCACCAUUUAUUAUAACAAGAUUACAAUCUGGGUUUAUUCAUACAACAAAAACCGAACAACAAUCGCCAUCAUGCUUCUUAUGCAGCGACAACUAGCUUCAAACAACUCGAUCUGAUGCGACGUCUACUCCAAGUUAAGCGGAAGCUAUUGAUCACAAGCAGCAAGGGCCUUGUCUUUGCAAGUAGGAAUGGCCUCAAAGAAUGAGAUAUCAGACUUUACAGUCAAAAGCCCAAGAGUGAACUGGAGGCUGCUGCCAUCCACUUUGAUCUGGUCAAUGCUUAACCAAAACCAAAGUGAUUGAGCCUUGAGACCUUUCAGCUCGGUAAUUUGGCCGUUGCUGAUCUUUCCAGUGAUCUCACUUUCGAAGUGAACAAGGUAAUCGUACUUGACGUAGCAUGGUUUCUUAAGGUAGACGGCGAAGGUGUAGGCUCCCCCGUCUGAUGGGGCUAUGGAGUAAGAUUCGACGGAAUCAGGCAGAAUGCCAGACGGGAAUCCGAAUUGGUUAACCAAAUCGUAUAUCGUUGGGAUUGCAGAGGUUGAAGCAGUGAGUGCGAGUAGGGCGACAAUAAGAAGAGACAUUUGUGAAGAAGCCAUGGUUAGUGUUUUGUAAGUUGUGAUGGUUCGAAUAGAAUUUGAGAUUGUAUAUAUAGGCAACAAGUUAAGCUACCCUAUGUAUUUAAAACUUAAUUUAAUAAAUAGUAUAUUAUUAAUGUAAGACUUUCUGUAUAUAUUUUAGUUGAGAC